CCGGAGUUGGGAGUGGUGAGGCCUCACGGCGACGAGUCUUCUUCUUGAUCUCGGGUCGAAUUAGGUGAGUGUCAGAAAGAGGAAUCAACGAUGGUUUCCUCCAUGAUGGUCUCCUCGGCUGCCACCUUCACCCGGGCUUCCCCGGCUCAAUCCAGCAUGGUGGCGCCGUUCACCGGCCUCAAGUCCGCCUCCGCCUUCCCUGUCACCAGGAAGCCCAACGCCGACCUCUCCCACCUCCCCAGCAAUGGCGGCCGAGUUCAGUGCAUGAAGGUACGCACGUACAAGGCUCGUGGCUCGAGUCGGAAACCUCUGUUACCGAGAUAGCCGUUACGAAUCAUAUACUGUGGAUGUAAUUCUUACGACAGGUGUGGCCGAUCGAGGGCAUGAAGAAGUUUGAGACCCUGUCCUACCUUCCGACACUGAAGGACGAGGAGUUGCUGAAGCAGAUCGAGUACCUUCUCCGCUCCAAAUGGAUUCCCUGCUUGGAGUUCUGCCCCGUAAGUAACUUCACCUGCCCCAUGGUGGGCAUCCGGUAACCUUGAUAUCCAGCAUGCAUACCGGGGAUUGAAGUCGAUCGUAAUGACCAUAACAGAAAGGGUUCGUGUGGCGCGAGAACCACCGGUCGCCGGGGUACUACGACGGGCGGUACUGGACCAUGUGGAAGCUGCCCAUGUUCGGGUGCACCGACGCUGUGCAGGUGGCGAAGGAGGUGGAGGAGUGCAAGAAGGAGUACCCCCACGCCUUCAUCCGCAUCAUCGGCUUCGACAACAACCGCCAGGUGCAGUGCAUCAGUUUCAUCGCCUACAAGCCGACCGGCUACUAGACGAUUCGGAUCCGGCUCUUCGGAUUUGCUUUCUUUGGUUCAGUGUUGGAUGUUUCCCCUUCUCUCGUUGUCUCCUCUACGCAACCGCCGACAGUGCAGCAGCGCACUGAGGCCGUCUAUGUUUUGUUUCCCCAAGAACGCGGAGCUUGUAUGUUAAGAAGUUUAUUAUGGACGUUCGCUUAUUUAUAAUAAAGGCUACCCAAUGUGUUUGAUUUUACCUGUAUCCGUCUGCUGUGGGUGGAAGAAUCCCGUACCGUAGUCGGCAGACGUGUGGUGUGGGGGUUGAAGCUUUGCUCUGGCCCAACCUAAUGUUAUCUGGGCUCUGUAUUGGGCCGAUCUCGGCCUACUUGGACGAUCAACCGCUGGGUCAACGGUCAAACACCGCGCGCAUGUCUUCUUCUUCUCCCUCCCCUACUAAUUUAAUGGAAAUAGAUAUAUGGACCCCCAAAAAAAAAAAAAAAAAAAUGUCAUCAUCUCGCAUCCGACGCACCAACAAACGCGCCGUGGCAAAAGCAGUACGAGAGGUUUCCUAUCGUCGUCGGUCGUGAAGAGUAGCAAAGUAGAUCGAGCCCAAGCGAGGAACGUCACGUGCGAGCAUAAUUCGUGUCGGCCCUUCGCUCGUGGUGGGGUACCGCCGCGGUGCCCGGUACCGUGUCGGAUGAUGUAUAUUAAUGAAGCCAACCGUGUGUGAUAUCUCAACUCAUGCUGUAAUCACCGUUUGAAUAGUUUGAUGAACGGUGUCCAUAUCCACAGCAUGCGUGACACAUUUGGUACCUACCCAUUAAAAUACAAUACCAUUCAGAGCACUCUCUCGAUUUAUUUUACUUUUUCUAUUAUUCUUCUUCUUCUUCUUCUUUUUUUCCUUUGGAUAAAUCCUCCUCCGACUCCCUUCUUCCCCAUUCCUAUCUCCUUCCCCUCUUCGGAUUCUCUCUCUCUCUCUCUCUCUCUCUCUCUAGUAGGGAGGCGGAUAAGGUACAUAAAAAUCCGGUCUUUGCCUCCUGCGCUUCUUUUUCUUCCCUUCUUCUUCGAUUCUGAGGGGUGAUCGGCUUCUUUUGUGGGAGAUCCCUCUCGUGGUGUCGCGCGCCGGUGGUUUUCCAAACAGAGUCGGGAUUUUUACUGGUUUUUGGAGUUUUCCUUCUUCUCGAAAUUUCGCACCCUCCUGCUUUUAUGGGAAACAGUGAAAUGUUCAAACUUGCCUGCAAAUACGUCCGAGUUUUCGUAGCUGCGGCGUUGUUUCUACCGGAUUCAAACGGAGAAAACCGCUUUUCUUGUUGGCUAAUUUAGUUGUCACGACAGGCGUUGCCAUCGUAAAGAUUGGGCGAACAUGAACCGCUGCGCGAUGCAACAGAACCCUUUCGCCGCCUACGAAGAGAUGAGGACCGCUUUCGCCGCCGCGGAAAGGAAGCCCCCUGUCUUCUGCCCGAAGCCCCGGCGGCUCAGCCCGCCCGCUGGCGUCGCCGAUCCGAUCUGGCCCCUCCGUUGGCACUCGAGGUUGACAUAUAUAACAACCCCUCCUCUGCUACGACACCGCAAAAGUUUCCCCUUUUCGUGUAUCUGAUUCCACCUCUCUCUGUCUCUCUCUUCUGCUCUUCUCAGUCGUCAAGCAGAUUUCUCCGAUUCGAACGCCGUGGCGGACCUUCUUGACAUCUUGCUCGCAAAGGUGAGAUUUUUUGUUGACGUUGUAAUAACAUGUGUAUUUGAUGUAGCUGAUACCGAAGAAAAUAGAUCUGGAAAACCUCUGUUAUUGACGUCUAUUAUCACGAUUUGUUCGCAGGAUGGUGAAGAACAGAACCGAGAGGCUUCUUCGCCGCCCUUCUUCUGCGGCUCGCCUCCAGACCGUGCGGCAAACCCGGUCGUCCAUGACGCCCGUUUCGGCGAGGACCGUCCGCCGCUGGCGCCGUUCGCCCCUGUGCAACCGACCCAGUCCGUCACGCCGAUGUCCCCCAAGCACGCCAAGUUCGGGCUCCUGCCGGCGGCCGUGCGGGUCGAGGGUUUUGAUUGCCUCGAUCGCGGCUGCAGCAGCAUCGCUGCUGUGGCCUGAACGCCCGCAUGCGCCUCCGAGCUUUCUUUUGGAGCGCGGUGAGAGGAAGAGUGAGAGGAAGGGAGAAUUGACAUCAACAAAUCAAAGAAACCAGCUGUAGGAGAAGAACAAGUUGGUAAUCUGGGAAUGCGUUUUGGCUCUCCAUGUAAACUGUACAUCUUACUAGUGGUGCACCAAUGUUGUGUACUAUUUGUGUGGGAGAAUUGUAUGUAGAUAUCAAAAUAAGGAAGAUAGAGAGUUAGGAGGAGGAGGAGAAGGAAAGCCAAGUUUUUUUGUGUUUUGUUUUGAUCCAUAUGGACGGUAAGAGGUUCUAUUUCAUCCUGUGCUGAAAUAUUCAUCAUCUUGUAUAGAACUCUUAGGAGGAAAUCCUCGAAUCAUGAAAUUGUGUAUCUAUUCAUCAUGUAUAAAAUUUUGUAUUCCUUUUCCUCUCUAUGUUUAUGGUGCCUCUUGGAGCUCUCGAGACGGUGGUGUUGCGAUUGAUGUGGCUGCCACCAGCGAAAAGAUGUUGCGCUUAGUGUUAAGAGCAUCGUUGGACGGAGAUGACUGGAGACGUGGCUUCGUGUUGGAAUAAUGUCAUCUUAUCAGAGCAGAUAUGGUCAAUAUCGUCGACUGAUACGAGAGGCGAUGGGUAAGGAGGAAGAGGUGGAGGAUAAGAAGGAAAUGGGGGCAGGAGGGCCCAGCAAAAGGGGUGUGAGGUCAUGUCUUCUCCACCGAGCUGUCUCUGUUCAAGUGGCGCUGUCGCGAAGAAAAAAAAUAACGAAGUCCAUGCCACCACCAUUCUUUGAAUUCUCCACAUGUGUUCGUCCGUGAUGACUGACUAAUUCAACAACGGAUGGAUCGACUCCGAGACGGACUAAAUGUUCUGUGCCUAACGAAGGAUGGACACAAGUGGAUAAUGCUUUGACAAAGGUGGCUAAUUGGCACGCGAUUUCCAGGGUCUUCUGUAUGCACAGAGUCAUGAGCUGUAAUAGGCCAAUGUCGUGAACUAUAUAAUAAAUACAUCGAUGGAAGUCAUGAGCAAGUGGGGAAAAGAAAAGCCUCGGCGAUUUCUUUCUACCCGUUGCCGUCCUGCUUUGCGUCCGACCGUCUCAUUCCAUCCCGCAUGAGAUACGGUGCUGUCGGAAGAGAUUCGGACUCGCAUUAGGUUCCGAUCUCUCCGAGCGUUCGUUCAGACACAUCGCCAGGGAAAAGAAAAAGAGUAGUAGAAUCCAUCCAACUUGUGCUUGCCAAAUAAGCAGAUAAGAGGAACGAAGGCUGGGUUCACAAGCAGUCAACGUGGCCACUUUCCACACCACGGCCUUCGUCCGCAGACCAUUCCUCAUCCCAUCCAAGUGAGUCCAAAAUCUCCACUGCUCACCUCAGGCGUGAAUGCAGAUAAAGAGGAAACAAAGCGGACGUGUCCUCUGCGGAACAUGUGGUCCGCCAUGCACGUAUCCCCUGUUACUCUUGGCCUCGGCGAGACGACGUGCCGAUCCAUGGGUGGAAGAGAGACGGAAGGAAUAGGAGAGAUCCCACGACGUGCAAUGUUUCAUCGCCCACCGUGCUGCACUCGCACAUGGUCUGCGGCUUCUCCCCGGCGCAUGGAAACCAAAUAUGGGAUCGGUGGGAGAAACAGGAUCGGAAACCUGUCUCCACGGUACCACUUUCCUUCCGGUACCCAACCGAUGAAGGGAUGCGUAGAGAUCGUAAUCGAAGCAUCUGACUGCAGGAACGCUUAGAGAAUUCACUCGUUGCAAGCACCAUAGCCUCGUCCUCGUACCAUGCCAUUCUCGAUGAAGGAAUCAGAAACUGGGCGAAGCGAAGGACAUGCCACGUAAAGCAGAAGAACAGGGCACAAAGAAAGGAUUCCGGUGGAGAAUAAAGAGGGAGGAGAGUCUGGUCCAUUGCUUUUGUCGACAGAUGGGUAUCGUUUGAGACCCACCUGGAUCGCUAUGGUGAUGAUAGAUAGAUAGAUAGAUUCUUGAUGUUUAUUCUCCCAUCAAAUCAGUAACAGGGAGGAGUGAAACGGAGCGAGAGAGAGGAGGGACAACACAUUUACGGAGAACCUACAUGUGUCGAGACAGGAAAACAAUGACAGGCUACAGGUGGGUUGCGUACACUCAAACCUUUGUCGCCGCAACUGGAUGCGAAUGGGAGCUGUCGGCGAAGCAAGCAAUCGGACCUGAGUUGGCUCACCGCAGAUGCCUAAUGAUUGACGCGGAAAAGGCCAAAUCGAAGAGAUUUGGUUUGCACGAUUGGGGUGUGCAGCCAACUCGGGUUGAGUCACCUGCUGCGGCGCCUUUGAUUAGCUCUUCCUCUGGUGGGGGUGGACGUGUCCACCUGUGGCCAUAAGACCCGCCGCGAGUGGUGGUCAAAACAAAGAAGGCCUUGGGAACGACGGAGGCCGACUUUAACGUGGCAAACGGCUGUGUGCCACCUUUACUGAUGUGCCCAAAUCUUUAACAAAAAUAAAUAUUCGUGGACCGCUGGGGUGCUGAGAGCAUCUGCUUUUUAUAAUACGAAAAGAAAAGCCUGUUCGUACGACAAUCUUACUCUGGCGGAGUGGCUGAAGGAACAUUCCUUUUUCUUCUUAUAUAUAUAAUUACUUUCUUCGUGUUCGUGAGCUCCAACUCAGAAACUUCCCUUCGUUCCUAUCUUUACACAUGUUUGCCUGAAUAGAUGCUUGGAGGUGCUGUCAACGUAAGAACGCUUGAAACUGAUAAAAGGAUGGGGCUCGAUGUCAAACAUCAUAAGAGAAAAACUAGGUCAUGUCGUCUAGGAUUAAUGUUCUUUACGAUUAAGCAUGCGAGUCCUUUCGAAAUCAUGAUCGAGAAAAGUCCAAAAGGAUAAGCUUAGCCAUCGUGUAUCAAUGAUUCUUUACGAUUAGGCAUGCGAGUCCUUUCGAAAUCAUGAUCGAGGAAAGUUCAAAAGGAUAAGCUUAGCCAUCGUGUAUCAAUGGUUGCUCUAAUUUAUGAUCACAUGAGGGGGGUUACCUUACAUGCGUGUCGACUCCAAGUGGUGGCUCACGAUUAGGGUGAGUCAUCGAUCUAAUGCUUGUGUCAUUGUUUUUCCUAUCAACACCUAUAGUUUUUUCUAAUAUCAUCAUAUUUUUAAUAUAUUUUAAAACACUAAUAUCUCCUGAUAAAAGUCUAAUAUACAAAAGAGUAAAAUUAUUUAUUUCAUUAAAUUUUCAUAAUAAAAUAGUAAAAAUGGAUGACAUCUUUGUUCAAAUUUUUAUCAUAAAAAAUUUUAGAUUCUGAUGCCACUUUUAUAUCCUACGAAGAGUUAGCAUUUUUUAUUUCUUCAUAAUAUUUUUAAUUUUUAUUAGACUGUGUUGAACAAGGAGGUGUUUCAUCCUCCUCUUCUAUUCAAUUAUUGAACACAACUAUUCUUUCCAUUAAAUUUUUAUAAUAAAAAUUAAAAUUUAAUCGAGCUAUUUUUUUAAAAAAAUAAAAAAAAAUAGAUGAGAAAAAGUAAUAGCGACCCCUCCAACCAACCCCUCAGCACACGACAACAUGAACAGACUAGUCUAAACGCAAAAGUAAUAUUGACCCGUUACACUAAUUUGCUUUUGGUGGGUUGUCCGUACGGACAUCGGUGGGUAUAAGGCACGCAGCCCAUGUGGGGGUCGACUGCAGAAAUAACUCCGUCCUCGGCGACGAAGCUGAAGCUGAAGCUGGCAAUUGUUUUCUCAGAAUCAGAAUAUUCAAUCGGCCACCAUAAAUCAAAUGAAUAGGAAGAACAAAAGAAGCACAGACCAGCGGUGGUGGGAAGGUGAAGGUCGUGAUCGUCGCCGUAAAUUUUAAUAGAAACGAGCGAAGAAAAGAAAAUAUUUCGAAAUUGGACAAACAAUGGCUCCUUAAUUUAUUAAGUAGCGACACGCCGGUGACUGUGCGGGAGCGGGAGGAGGAGGUGGAGGUGGAGCUCCGCACGACGGAUUCGCCUCCGACCGCCCCUCCCUCAUUAUUUCGUCUGUCGGUCACGCACGGCUGUGGUCCGCACCUCUCUCUCUCUCUCUCUCAGACACGUGACCCCCCGCUUAUCCGCUCCAAAGCCGCGACGCGAACCGGACGCGCUGCGUCUGCCACGUUGCUGCCGGCCCCUCGUAACGUAGCCACGUGUACUCUUUAGCCGGGUUCGACCCGGCUCGGGUAGCCAUGCCUUUCGAGCGACGACUCGGCCCGUCACGAGUCCUCACACCGCCCCACCCACGACGACGACGACGACAGAUAUAGAUACGUCGCCGAACCCAGUACGUUCCUGCCGUGUCGAAGACGUUUCGGUCCGUGACGCGCCCGUGGCGACCAACAUGCCUAGCGUUAAUAGCGACGGGUGUUACUCCUCUUUCGGCUUAAAAUCACCGGAGUAAACAGAUCCGGAUUCGACGCGUCGAGUUGAUGGCUGCGUGCAUUUAGGGGAAGGUCUGGUGCUCGCACCACGCCUCUUUGAUUCAUUCCAUGCAUGCUUUUGACGGACGCACGCGCCAAUGAACGUCGAGAUUCGCGACGGACAGAAUCGCUGAGUGGGUCCGCCGCGGGGCCUCCAUGUUUGGCCAUUAUUGAUUAUUAGAGGUGGGUAGGCGCGGGCAGCGAUUGGGUUUCCUCGUUUCCUUUUUUUUCUUAUUCCUUCCUUUCCGUGGGCGAUUUGGUUACCACCGCAUCACCCAUCGAGCUGACAAAGAAAGAUAUUGAUGCCCACCCUGAAUAGCCUUUUUCUUUUUUCUAAUCUUUCUUUGGCGCUGUUGAGGUCAAAUAAAAUUAUAUUAACAUCAUGAUCGUUCGUUUACCCGCGGAUGGUGGAUGAUGGCAUGGGAGUUAUCCUACCAAUAUGUUAGCGGCUACGAUUCCUAAUUUAAUCUUCCAAGUUAUCCUACCCCAACAGGAGGUCAAACUCGACAACGAGAGGGAGGAUAACGUCGAACGUUUCUCACCGUUCAAAUCCAGAGGAUAGAGAAGGGAGAAGAAUAAAAAAAACAAAAAAGGAAGAUGCGCCCAAAUCCAGCCGAGCCGAGAAGACCAAGCCAAACCACGUACCGCCUCAGCCACGCCGACGACGGGGUCACUGCCCCGGACGCCAGCUCCGGACUCCAAACCCGACCCAUACGUGUCCAAAUUACCUUUCCUUUUCCCUUCAUUAAAAUAAAAAAAAGCAAGACACACCCGUGAUGCGUGGGCCCCUCCCACCUUAUUUCCCCCCCACCCCGCCCCCCUUAUUAUUAUUAUUAUUAUUAUUAUUUUACUCGCUCUUCCAUCUGUUAUGGACUUUAUCACGCCACCCACCGUAUUUCUCGUGUCUCGCGAAACGUCCCCAGAAAAAGAAAAAAAGGAAAAUGAAUAGAAAUCCGCCCCUCCUCUUUCCCUCCCUAUAUAAACUCCCCCUCCACCGUGGACGAAACCAUUCACAUGCUUACUCACGCUUCCGUGCUCCUGUUUUGAGUUUUGACCUUCUUCCUACUCGGCCCCCUUAUCAUUUUCUUUCCCAGUUUGCCCAUCGACAACCUGAAAUGUCUUCUCCACCCCCAUACCUUCCUCCUGUAGAGGCCUCCGCCGAUCGGAAAAGACGCCGCGACGAGAUGGUGGAGAUAGAGGAGGAGGGGGAGUCGCCGGAGAUCUCCUCGCCCGAGGCCAAGCGCCUCCUCCUCGACAUCCUUGACGAUGACGCCGAUGCCGGAGACCAGGACCUCGCCUCCGUCAUGAAGAGCCUCGAGGAGGAGAUCGCCCUCCCCUCGCCGCCUCCGCAACCGCAGCUGCUCCCUCUGGCCGCGGUGGACCAGCCCGACCUAGGGUUCCUCUUCGAGGCCUCCGACGACGAGCUCGGCCUGCCGCCCCAGGCCGACGAGCGCUGCGAGGCACCCGAGCCGGAGGUCGCCGAGGAGAGCGCCGGGUUUGGCCAGAUCUGGGGGUUCGACGACGGCGACCUGUGCGGAUACGAAGGGUUCGAGUUCGGGAUCCGGCCGGAGGAGCGGGCGGAGGCGGACGACGGGGUGGUGUUCGACGGCGGGCUGUUUGAUUACGCCGACGUGGUGCCCUGCGGGCCGUCCGAUUUCGCGGAUCUAUCGUGGCGGCCGGAGACGCUCCCGGCCGUCUGAUGACAGUCCGGACGCUUUUGUUCUUCCUUCUUUAAACCCCCCCCCUUCUUCAACUUUUCUUUUGUUCUUUUCCUUCUCUUUUGAGGAGCGGUAGGCGGUCGUUGUAAAGCUUAGAAAAAAGAAGAUGAAGAAAGAAGACGCUUGUGAACGAGAAUCGAACGAACGGUUUCGCACGAUAUUUCGAAGAAGGAAAUCAAUCUUUCGUUUUCUAUUUCGACAGCGUCAUUUUAUCAUCCACCUUAUUCGACCUUUGGAUGGACAUCCGACGGUGCAGAAAUGGGGAUCCCAAUAAUCUCCUUGGAUGCUCCGCUCGUCGCUUCUUGAUGACCAAAACAGAAAACCUAACAGCAGAAUAAAAAGUCGAUUCAACCCAUGAAGCACCAGUCUUAUUCGUUCAUUAAAUAUUUCUAACAUUCCGUUGCGUAGUAACGAGUUAUGCCAUUAUUCAUAUCCCGUAUUAGCUAAGAAUUAUGCUCAAUAAAUUAUAUUAUAAAUUGAUUACGAAUGGUGUAUGACUUGGUUGUGUGUGGGACCUGAGUUUGGUGGCAAGCAGUUUCGGAAACGUGUCGGGCUCUGUACGAGGCCGGCGCAGCGAGUUCUGUGAUGGGCCUUCUUCGUCUGUCUUUGCAUCUUCGCAAAGAAUGUCUGUUUCCCUUCCUUGCACUUGCGUUCCUUGGGUUGAUUCCGGCCUCGACCUAGUUGCAUGGCGUGAUUGGCAGUGGAGGACAUUAGAAUUCCAUCCUACGAGGUCUGCUCUCUUUCCUUUGUUGCUUACAAUCGAUGAAGAAUGGAUCUUUACAUGCCGCGAUCAAGGCCGCCUGUUUUUAGAGCCUCUUUUGGUAGGUCGAAACCUAAUUUUUUUUGCAUCACCUAAAUUUAUGGCAUCACCUUAGUAUGACGACGUUGUGUUCGACGAUAUGCCUCUUUUGUUUUCAUUCAUAAUCUUAUGUUUUCAUUAAUCAAGUCUAGUUCUCAUUGGAUUUCCGGUGCGGUGCCACGCCCCUUUUUGCUGGUGAGUAAACACAACACAUUAUAAUUUUUCCGGUGGUAGGAGGUCUGCGGGUGAAGAAUUCAGAAAAACUGGGACAAAGGAGAUGGAUGAAGAGUCUACUUUGUGGAGUGGGAGCGAGGACCAUUAAUGCUACCUGAAUGAUCAUGGUGAUCCGUAUAUAAUAAACAUACAGUUUGAGCUUGAGGAGACAUCCAAAUAUCGACUGUUGAAGGCAGAAAAGUAGCACCAGGAGGUCUCUCAGGGAAGGCAAGCUACAAAGCUUGCUGCAGAAAAUGCACUGAAAAAUAUUUAAGAAAGUGUCGGACAGGAAUGUAUGGGAGGCGGCAAGUGAUCUAGAUAUCCGGAUUGGAGUUUUCGAAAACAUUGUUCCAGGACCAGGCUAUGCACAGCUUCGAGAGGAGGGUGGUCCUAAGAAGGGUAGACAUCCGAUUCUUCAAGGAUAGCACAGGCACAUAGAAGAGAAUCAGGAUUCGGAUUUUUCGGUUUGACAGAAAAUUUCAUUAGAUCGUGAAAGACCAUUUGUCUAUGAUUUAAUAUGCCAAGUUAGAGUCCUCUGAUGAAGUAGAUCAAUAUGAUGGUUGCUUGCAUCAUCCCAAGGAAAGAAAUUCUCUGGUCUAACCUGACCAAUUUAUCAUCCACCUGUUUCUCCUGCUACAUAUAUUCGAGCCCGUCGUCGAUGGAAAAGUGAAGAAUGAGUAUUUCUUGUUUGUGUCUGUUGUUUCUUCGAUCCAUCUAUCUCUCUCAUGUCUUUGUUACCACAUGCAUGCAAUCGAAUUAAGUUCACUGAGGAUUUAUAUUUUGAUUCCAGAGAAACUGUGUUCUCAUUUACGCUUCGUGCGUUCUUCCCAUCUUUGUUAUGUCUUUUGUCCCAUUAGUUAACACUCGUAACAUGUUGAUGUUCACCGGAAAACUCGUACAGGCGAGGGAUGGACCAUGGUACGUUGUCCUUUCUAGCUACUGCAAGUGGAUCAAGUGGUAAACUUGCAGCAAAUUUGAUCUGCAACUCGAGUUAUAAGGCCAAGGACUAUUGUAUGUUUGUUUUGAAUAGGUAUGUGUAUAAUAUUUCUGCCAUUGGACUUAGGAAGGAAGUUUCUUGCGAAAUGAUGCACCGACCUGCUCCCAUUUCUAAAAUAUGCCCCAUCUGCUUAGGCUUAGCGAGUUGCAACAUAAACAGUUUGGGUUGGGAAGGAGCUUUUCAUUGCAGUGUGUGGUAUGGAAUGUAUCUUGUUUCUUGUCUGCACCGAUCCAAGGAUGGAUCAUUCUGGCACGGUCAUCCUCUCAUAAUGGUUAGUUUCUUGAUCCUUGAUCAAGAAGAAAAAAACGAAAGCCAUGCUCCUUGAUCCCCCGGCCAAUCCCUGUUUCUCGAGGCUUUUGUUUUGUGAAUCCUCUCGCCCUUUCUCUCAUCAUAUCCCCCUCCUGUACGAAAAGCAAGUGACAAAUCUCCUUGUGCCACUAAAGCUGACUCCCAUUGUCUAAAGACUUGUUGCGGGGACAGUGUUUUCGCCGCACAGUGUCUCGUACGGUUCCAGCUUUUGUCCAUCGUUCCUCUGUCUUUUGGUCUCCCAUGCCGACAUUGGAGCACUGUUCCGUGAGCCUCACAUGGGUGUUGGUGCCGCACAGUGAAAGGCUGCUGACCUCCUCUGUCUGUGAGACUUAAGUUUGACCGUCGGAGAAAGGAAGACUCGACCAUCAACGGUGAUCAUUCUUUUGAGAUAUCUGUAUCUUGUCGUGCACUGCCAUUCUUUAUCCAUCUUUCGAGGACUCGGGCCCUGAACCCUGCAGCUGGUUGGUCAUCUUUAUAGAUACCACGGCAUCGGUGAUCUUAUUAUAUCUUAUGUUGCUGCCCCGGUGGUUAAUUGUCCAUAUAUUUGAACUCAUAAUUUCUUUAAUCUCUUCGUGAUGCAUUGCCCCCCUUGCACUCAUUUUAGAUUAUCUAUAACAGUGUGGCUCUCAGUUCUUACCUUGUGGAAUUGUACUUGUAUUGAUUGGGUAACGCAUAUUUGCCUAAAGGUUACAAGUAAAUUAUAUGAAUAAUUUAAUUGUGGACCAAAAUGAGGAUGGUAAUCAGUAGCAUCGAGGACGGUGGGAAGCACAAGAACAAGGGGACGAGAAGAUGCUCGACAACAGCUUGAGCUAACAUCAAGAAUGCUACCAGUUCGAAGCACCACCGACUAUAGGAAACCAUAGCAGCUACGAGGAAGGAAGAAGGGAAAGAGAGAGAGAGAGAGUCAACCCCCCCCCCCCCUUGUCUCCUGAAAACCUACCAUCUACAUGAUAAUACAAGCAUUAGCGUUCUCAUCACUGAAAAGAUGAGUGGCACAGAAGCCGUUGUCUACUUGGCUGCUGAGAUAGCGAGGGCUCGGGCAGUAGUUGUAGUAGCCAGUGUAGGAGGCGAUCUGAGGGGACCUGAGGUGCAUCAUCUGAGGCUGCACGCAUCUGCCGUCGUGCAUCGCCAUGCUGUGCCCUCUCGAGUUGUUCGCCAUGGAUGGUGGAUGGUUCGGGUACCCCUGCUUGUUCACCAGCAAUGCCGACUGGUAUUGUGCCCCACCAGCAUUUCGUGGCAAGCCUCCAUUGCUCCCAACGAGACCCAUCAUCACAUUAUUCGCCUGCGUCAUCCUUUGUCCCUUCCCUGCCUCAGGAUUGCCACUCGCCACCUUCUUGUCGUUGGCUGCAGCAUUGACGCCUUUUGGCUGUGACCCACUUGAGCUUUUCACGGUGUGCUCUGCCUCUCUGCUCUUCCAUCCGCUGCUGCCAUUUGUUGGCCUCGCGCUGGCUGGUGCAUUGUUUGCCUGCCUCGUUAAACUGAUUUGCAUCAUCUUAUGGUCGAGGAUUUGCAGAUCAUCGUCGUCUUCAUCUUCGUCGUCAUCAAUAUCAUCAUCAUCAUCAUCAUCAUAGUCUUCCUCGUCGGAGCUGGACGAGGGAAGCUUGUUGUGCUGGUGUUUGAAGGCUUUGAGGCCUCGCAGGAGGCCUUGUUUGCCUCGCCCUUCGAUCUUCGUGUUGGCUUCCUUCAUGGGAUUGGCAACUUGCUUCGGUGGUGGUGGUGGUGGUUUUUUUUGAUGGAUGGACUUCUGAAUCGGGGUAAGCUUUUGAGACCAAAGCUCCGCACGCUUACCUGCUCUGACCAGCUUCCUGAUGAGGGUUUCAGAGUCCACAUUCCCAGAAACUGUGACCUUCUGUUCUUCUAUAUCUAUGCUGACUGAGAAGACUCCUGAGUGAGAUGCACAGAACAAGAGGUGCAUGAUGAACAUCAAGUUUCUAGUCAAAUCAGGAGUUGUAUCUGCUGUCCAUGGAGGAUAUAACGAACGUUAGAUCAGGUACCUUCAAUUCUAUGGAGGAGCUUCGUAACUUUGUGCUUACAUCCAUCACAAUGUAUGUUCACCUUCAGGACGUGGGUCUGCAAGAACCAACCAAACAGUUUCGCUUCACUAACUCCUCUUCUCGCAAGAUACAAACGAAACAGAGAGGAGGAGAGGUACCUGGAUCUUGAGGAGCUUGAAGUCUUCGCCCUUGACCAUUUCAGCCGCAAUUCCUUCCUGCUGUCUGGGAGAUCACAAAGGAACAGGACGCAGUUCCUUGUCUGCAGGGAGAGAAGCUAAGCCUCGGCAUGCAAGACUCGUCUCCUCCACCAUCCCCUGCACUUCCCUCUAUAUACCUCGGGGCACCCAACAGGACACCACUUCUUUUGUCCACUGCUCGCACUAUGAUUGAUACAAACACGCACUCUCCCUUUUCUUUUCCUUUUUUUUUUUUUCUCUCUUUUUCUUUUUCUUUUUUUUGCUUUGAUAGAAGAGAGUAUGUAUGAUUAGGUCUGUCUGAGAACAUCGUCCAAUGUUCUGUGUGCGUUGGGAUCCUCCCCGCGCGUAGAUUUGGCGUCUGGAGAGCCAUCCAAUGGCUGAGACAAAGCAGCUAAGCGCUGAGGGGAGGAAACGAAGAAAGGAGAUCGAGGAGAGAAGCCAUGCAGCAGCGACCUGACCUGACCUGACAUCUGCAUUGCUUCCUGCAUGCAUAGCCCUGCACAGGCUCGUCUCUUUGCAUCUGGUGCCCAUUUUUAUCGUCUCCAUCUUCUUCUUUUCUUCUCCUCUCUACUCUCUCUUUCGCCUGUUCUGCUCCUGUGCCCGCCAUAAACCCAGAAACACAGCUUAACGUUUGACGAAACACCUCCAAAUCAAUCACGUAGGCUCCUGUCCGCUAAAAGCAUUCUCUUGGACGUUGUUAAGAACCAGCGUGGUUGUCCACCGCUGAAAGAAUGCGUAGGUUGUGGUAACAAGAACGAUGGGCCUCGGGCCAUCAUGCUCCGCUCACCUGUAACCAUAGGUUUGGUAUCAGUCCACGAGCUUUGAUGCAUUCUCUUAAAGUUAGGAGGCGGCAACGAGUUCAGCUGUUUGUGCUGUAGAAAGUAAUCUUAAUUUAGGGUGAAUUCAGAAGCAGAGUGGCCCGAAGACGACGACGACGACUCAUUACUUUGGAAGCUGAGUUAGAGCUCCAUGUCGGUAGGGGACACUUUGGACGUCAAAGUUGGGUCGCGUAUGGAUCCAAAUCCUUGACUUCUUCCUUCUUCCACCGGUACGCAUGCACUUGGAGGAAAAGCUGAUCACAUGGUCUGUGGCAGACAAACAAUUAGGUGAUCUACAAGUAAUCUUGGUAAUGACAGGAGAUUAGAUGCAGAGAUACAAAUGGUUGUCCACCUCAACCUCAUUGGAUAUUGCAUUUAUUAAGAGUCAAAUCUCACGAGACUCCAAAAGUUAGAGAAAAGAAGAAAUCAACAUCCGAGUUCAUCAUUAAUCACACACACACACACACACACACCAUCACAACAUGGUCAAAAGUUGUGACAAUUUGGUCAUCAUUCCUGGGCAACUCACUGACUUGUAUCUAUUAAUCUGACAAAGCUGGGAAAUUAGCUGGAACCAAUACGAAAUCUAGCCAUCUGUCUAAACCCACCACCGAGCGUGAUCCUCCGUGAUGACAACACAAAGCCGAAUGAAAUAGGGCGUGUUUGAGAUGAAAUGGCCGAAGCCAGUGGUGGCAAUCAUUAAAAAGCAACACGUUAAACGGAGAUCGUGGGUUUCAACGGCGGGCGGCAAUGGCGGUGGUGGGAACAUGAUGCCCGACGUGCCUUGCCAUCAUUUCCCUUUCUCACAAAGUAGUCGUGAAAUUUGCUUGAUAUAUUGGCCACAAAGAUCGACGAAGACAAAUUUGUCGAUAGGAUGAAACAACGGUGGUAGAGGAGGGAUACGGGUGGCCAAAAGAAAAGAAACAUGAGGGAGGGCCAGAACGGGAAAUAAACGCCCGAGUACUUCUGAUUCUCCUCCUCCUCCCUUCCUUCACUCCAACAGAUCCAAUCGCUCCCUUGUAAGCCUCCUCCUCCUUUCCUUCCACUGAUUGUUUUUCUUGUCGCCGUGCCUUUUUGGUUUACUUUGGUUCUACUUGGUCUGUUAAGGCAGGGAUAGGAGAGAGAGAGAGAGAGAGAGAGAGAGUAGGGGUUUCAGGGUCCAUAAGAAAGCUGCCACCUUUUUCUUCUCGGUGUAUUGAUUCCUCUGUUUCUGGUGGGUUUGUGAUUCCGUUCUUGGUUUUCUUUUAGCCUCAUUCAUCUCUCCUCCUCUCUACCCUUCUCUGAAUUAUGGAUUUGUUUGCUCUCUUUCAUCUUCGUUUUCUCUUUGUCGUUUCGGAUCCAUGAAAGAUCGCUCCUUUUUCAGUGUUUCGUUUGGAAUUUCCAAUAAUACUUUGGUUCUCGUGUUUUGGUUGCUGUUCUUCUUGUGACCGAUUGAAUUUUGAUGAAUCUUUCCCGUCUCAGUUUUCUCUGUUCGUGGGAUUUCGAAUACCUUGUAGUUUGAGGAAACCGACAUCUUUCUUGUGCUUCUCUGCUGCAACCCUGUUGGUCUUGGUCUCUACACGAUGAUGUUAUUCUUACACUUACUUUUUACUGUCCUGAUAGAUUGUUGGAUUACUAUCCUCCGUUUUUGGUUCUGCGUCUCAGUGUCCUGCUCUACGUUGCAAAGAUAACUUCUUCCGUCAUGUGGGGAUUGUUCAUGAUUUUAUUAACAUCUUUCCUUUGACUCUGACGUAUGGUUACAUUGGCUUCUUUGUUACAUUGUUCUCCUCUUUUCGUUCAAAGUUCCAGAAGAAUGGGAGACCAUCUUGCUUUGUUAGUGGACCACCUGCUCACCGAGUCAACGCUUGAAGCGGCUAUUGGUAGUCGGAAGCAUGGCCAGAUUGUCGCCAAUUCGGCAUCUUUGGAGGACCCGGCCAAAGAAUUCACUCGGAAGAGUCACGUCAGAGGAAGGACAUCCGUGGGAAAGUUGGUCGAGUGCCGAAUUUGUCAAGAAGAAGAUGAAGACUGCAACAUGGAGAUCCCUUGUUCAUGUUGUGGCAGCUUGAAGGUAAAUCAAGCUUCUAUGUAACAUAUGUAACUUGCCUUUGUAUUGCCUAUUACUGUAAGGUCAAUUUUUUGUUGCAGAAUAUGGCUUGUUCUUGAAGAUUUCAUUUUUGUGAUAACACGUAUUACUAUAAGUUCAAAUUUUGUUGCAGAAUAUGGCUCGUUCUUGAAGAUUUCAUUUUUGUGAUAACAUGGAAAUCAUGCAUACAUCUGCUUCGGUCAUGCAGUUAUUUUGUAUUCUGAUUUGUAGCAAAAAGGUUCAUCAGUUCUAGCCUGCAAACUGAAUUUCCUGUAUGAUAGUGUGUAUGUUUGAGCUACAAUUUGUUAUUUUCUAUUAAUGUAUGAAAUAGUUUGGUUAUUUUCCUGUAUGAUAGUGUGUAUGUUUGAACUACCGAGUGGUAAUCUAGAAGUUAAAAAUUGCAAUUUAAUUAAGGAUUCAAACAGUGAUCAAUGUUCAUUUGUAAUUCAUUUGCAACACAUUACUUUUGCUCAGUAUCUGUUUGGCAGAAGUCUGCCCGAGAUAUGUUCCUCUUGUGUUUUAGAAUUACCUUUAAUCCAGUGAAGCUUCAGUCUGUGAGAUUUAUAUCAUUUGAAAGUCAAAGUAAGUCCGGUUAUUUAUUGACCCGGUGACAGGAAUAUAUCAUACAAAAGAAGGAACUGGUCUCUCUCAUCUCAUUUGUACGUCUGUCACCUUUGUUCAACGUUACUAGUAAAUUGUCAUCCAACAAGUUCAUUGAUCUUUGUGUUCUAGAAGUAUACAGUUAAUGCGUUCACAUAUUUCUUGUUAUGUGUUUUCUUUCGUAGUCUAGUUUACAUCCCAGGAAAAUAAGAAAAAUUCACCUUAGCUCUUUCUUCUUGCAGUAUGCUCAUCGUAAGUGUGUUCAAAGAUGGUGUAACGAGAAGGGCGACACAGUGUGUGAGAUUUGCCUGCAGGUGAUGUUUUUUUUUUCUGGCCUCGUAGUUUUCUUGAUCUCAACAUUCUGUAGUCACCAUGGUGAAAGCUUGAGCAACACGUACUGAUAUUGAAAGUGUCAAUUGAGGCUUUCUCAUCAAGCAAUUAUCUCUUUCAGAUUACAUGCUGGUCAUUUCAUCUGCACAUUUACUUUGAUGUAGCAUUUGGAUCACGAUAGUUUAUUUCUUGUGAUAUUGCUGCUAUAGCUCCUAAUUCUUGUCACUCAUUCAGCAAUUUAAGCCAGGUUAUACUGCCCCUCCAAAGUUGUUUCAGUAUGGGAGUAUUCCUAUGAACUUCAGGUAUCCUUUAUUCGUCUCGUUACGUUUUUAGGCAUCUGUGGCAAUUCAGAGUUGCAUCAUUUACACAAGGAAUCACUGAUUGUGUCAUAAUAUUUCUCAGAGGCAAUUGGGAGAUUACCAGACAGGAUCAGCAUGAUUCUCAGAUCAUAGCACUGGUUCCAUCUGAACAUGAUAUCGUGCACCCUGAUGACGAUGAUUAUUCAGCUUUAGGCAUGAGAAACACAGUUUGUCGUCAGUCAAUUGUGAUAAUAGUGAGUUUAUUUUGAUUCGAUAAGCACGAUAGUGGAGUGACUUGUGAGUCGCAUUUUGCCUUAUUAUGCUUUGUGUUUUGACGUAAGUGAUUCGCUUUUGUUUUUUCCAGUUCACGGUUCUUUUGGUUCUUCCCCACACUCUUCCUCUUAUGAUCGGUGUAGCUGAGCAGUAUUCAUUCACUCUGUUCUCAGUAAAAAUCUAAUCCUAAGAAAUUAAUAAUUUUCUUUCGACAUACUAUUAUUCGCUUCUGAAGUUCCGUAUGAUGUAGCCCAUUUUUAUUUGUACGUUUCUGUAUAAAAGCUACUGGUGUUGCGGACUGCUGGAAUACUUUUGCCGAUCUUUGUAAUGGUCAGAACAAUAAGGACAUUUCACCAGUUCCGCUGCCGACGGGUAAUUUUCUUUUUUCUUCUUCCCAUAGCGGCUGUAGAAACUCAAAUCUUUUUUCCAUGGUUUCUUAAGAAAAAGAAUCUUGAAACGUUUUGGAACAUGUUGCAGGUAACUCGUGAAAUAUCUGAUCCAGCUGAAGGAGAGAACAUGAUCGAACCUUGGCGGCUGGUGCGGUCUCAACCACAUCACAUUCAGAUGCACUGACUGAUACAAAGGAGCGAUGAUUAGCAGCGCGAGUGACUAAUCCCACUGUUUCUUGGUGAUGCAAGAUCAGGUCAAACAAUGGAAGAUGAGAAGAGGAAAAAUGACUGGGAACAUGGCAUGGUUAUGCAGUCUGCUGCUCUGUACAUAACAUGGUAGUGAUAGGUUUCCCUUCGGAAUGCUUGAAAACGGUAGCCAUAGUUGGAUCCCUCUAUAGAAAGCCACUCGCUUCAGAAAGCUUGAAGAUGAAGUGGCUGAAUUGAGAGUAGUGAUAUGGAUGGCAUGGUGUAAAGUCGAACUCAUUUGGCAGUCAAAAGAAGAUUCAAGUUUGACUUUAAAUGCCAAUGUUAGAACAGCUUGGAUUUUCUUUUUACUUUUAUUUAUUUAUUGGAUUUACUUGAAUAAGCAUAAUUAUGGGUCAAACCAUAUGUCCUCCCUUGUGGUUGAUUCAAAUAAGGUGAUGAAGAAGGAGUUACUACAUUCACGUCGUCCUUGAAUUGCAUAAGAACAUUUCUUGCACUGGUUGCUAGUGACGAAGUGCUCACCGUCAACAUCUUCAUAUUGAAUCUGAAGCCGACAGAAAUUAACAAUAGAUCAAGAAAUGUCACUAAAUCUGUGCAGGAAAAAAGACCUCCAUUGAGUUCUUCCUGAUGCCACCCACCCCUCGUCAGCCUCGUGGAACUUCUUUUAUGGUGUCCAAUGCCGGCGUCCACGACGACUGCCUCGGCCUCUCCUCUUGAUGCACCGGGUGGCUUCAUUCGCUUUCUUGGCCUGUGCGGGGAGCAAGCAGAGGUCACCGCGGACGGGAAGAAUCCUGUUGGAGAAUCUUGCCUUAGAGGCCCUGCACGAAAGAGCUGCCAUCUCCUCCUCGGUAAGCACCGAGAAGAGCAUGUCCAUCGGCAGCAGGAAGUAGAGCCGGCGUCGCUCGAGUUCCUCGUCCGCCGCCAAACCUGGAAUCCGACACCCCACGUCGAGAUGGUCAGAGUCGCACACGAACUACCCAGGGUUGUCAACCAUCAACUCCGCCGCUCUCACAGAACGCACGUACUCUACGACGCCAUUGACGACCCUUAUGGAUCCACCCGAGGCAGCGUAAGGUGUGCAUGCAGUGUUUCCCAUGAAAUCACACUCCAAUCUCCCAGCAACUAGAACAUCACAAGGGACACAAACAGAGAACGAGAGAGAGAGAGAGGAAGAGAAGGAAUGGCAAUGUGUGGAAUGUGCGUUGGGCAUUGGGGGUAUCAAGGGAAGCACAUGGGCCAGAAGAUACAGCAUCAGAUCAUGCAUGGAACCUGACAAAUCAAUGGAGGAAGCACAGAGAUGCAGAGAAGCAGAAUCAAGUGGAUGCCAAAAUGUUCAGUAUGCUUGUCCGACACCUCACACCUUACACCGCUAAAAGUUGGCAUAACAAAUCAUUGGAGAACAUGACAUGAAAACUAGACUGCUUAGAACACCUUUAACCAGACAGAGAUGGCAACAAAAGCCAAACAAUUAUAAUCAAAUUGUUGUUGAUAUGCAUAAUCUCAUCAGAGGCCAAGCUGUCUGAAGACUUAAAUCAUGGAGACCCAGCUAUCAUCUUUAUGGAAUCCUUACCUAAUUGGUGGACCAGUGUUUCACCAAAGUAGCCAACAAAACGCUAUUGCUUGAUCCAUUCUCACUUCAUCUUGAAGAGGUUUUGGGGCGCUUCAAAUGUAUCCUGUUGCUUCACAAACCUGAUCAUAUAGGCACAUCAUCGACAAAAGGCAGUGGUUAAUCUUGUUUUCUAAGCUUAGAUUCACAUUAUUUCCAUCAGUUUGUUGUUAUGCUAAUCGAAUAAAGAACCAAGCAAUAGUGUGGGAAUAAUUUACUGGACAAGUUAAUCGAAAGAAAAAUAGUGGAAGUUAAAAGCUUAGAAACUGCAUUGUCUCUUCAAAUAAACAAUUUACUGCAUUCCUUUAAUUGAAUACUGAGAGAGUAUACAUCAGUGCUCCUUGUUUUUUUAGUACAGGCAACUUAUAUGAACUUCCAAAAGUAUACAAGACUGAUGACCUGUUGUACUGGCCAUCAGAGUGUGAUUUAAUAAUGUAAUAAUAAGGUUGUCAAAAUUUGGUAAAUUAUUCACCAUUAUUCUGCUCCAAGCUCAAUCAGAUGAUCACACAGCAUCUGAGAACAAAAGAAUCGUAUUGGUGUUUCGCUAAUACUAAUAGAAGAGCAUUGUGAGCCUUCCCCUCCUCCAUGGUUAGAAAUUCGUCAAGAUUUUGUCUUUUGACACACCUUCAGCCACAAGCUUAGCUGUAAUGACCUGCCACAUAAAACCUAGUGUCAGUUAACUAGCAUUCUGGAGCCAUAAAUUUGUGAUCCUCAUGUAGAUUCAAAAAGUAUAAUCAACAUUAAUAGUAAUAAUCUUGUUGAAACAUGAAAACCUCUUCUCCCUGGGAAAAAAUCACAGUAGUUGCAACAUUCAUCCUAAGUGAUAUUCAAUUCAUAACUGAUAAUAAGAUUCAUCUACAACACCAGUGACAUAUUAUCCAGACAUGCAAAGUCACCCAUAAAUAAGUUGAUGAUAAUAAGAUGAUAAAUCCUUUCUCUUUCAGAAGAAAUAAGCUGAUAUAACUUAAGAUGAUUAAAUAAGUACAUAUUUUUUCAUCAGAUAAAGUGAUCUUUCCAUUAGUCUCGUGUUCUCAAUAGAAGGCCAUCUUGAAAUAACAUCAGAUAUUGAUUGGUGGGGAAUUCAAGCCAAGUUAUUAAGUCACACUUCCAGCACUAACUUAAUCGUGCUAUGACUUCUACAAGCUUCCAAAAAUCAAUAAAAGAGAGGCUCAGUGAAUCAAUAUGGGUUUCGGAGAGUCCAUGUACACCCAUCCAAACAGAGUGAUUGCAUUGCAGCUACUCAGACUAUUUAUCAAUGACUAUUAAGAUUUCAGAAAACUGUACCUCAGUCAUCUGUUUGUGCCCACAAAGCACCGCACCAGUUGUUGAAGGAUUUAGAAUAUGUCUGGCUCUUAAAAAAGCUGUCUGCAAAAUGUCAGAGAAUAAAUUUGAUUAUUUACAGGAAGUUCAACAACAUAAAGUUGGUUGUUUAUAGAUUCAAUGAGCUACCUGUACAUAUCCUCUUUCGCCACUCCAUCUUUCAUCAGGUUGUGACAAGACAGGUAUGACAUUUACUCCAGCAUACUCCCAAUCCUUGAACCUUUCCUAUAAACAAGCAACAAAAGGUUUUGUAUUUGAUUUCUUGAUUCAGAUGAACACACAUCUUGCUUGUUAGAUGCUAGCUAUAUGUUUAAUAGUGUAUAUAAUCUUAGACCUGAUAUGCCAUUUUCUGAAGAUUUCUAGCUCCAUAAUAAAGUCUCACAUCUGAUCUUUCAUUUGCACGGACACCUAAUUCAAUAAGUGACCGAAUGGGACUGCCAGAAAGAGUUCAUAGAGCAAAGUAUUAACAAUGGAAAAAAGCUAGUUAACUAGUGACAAAAUUGUUGCAUACAAUUGUAAAAAUCUACAAAAAUAUUUACUACAAAUUGGAAGACAAAAGACACGUAUCAAUAAUUUUUUAAUGCAAUCAAAACAUUCUAUCACACUCAUCUGCAAGUUAAGCAAGUUAACACUAAAUUAGUAUUUGAAAACAUAACAUCAACUUAUUUAGAAGAACAAUGUAUCAGUACCGUUAAGAAAGUAUGAUAGGAAGAACUUGAAGAUGCAUUCCAAAGAUAGAAUUGUCAUUGGCAAACAAAUCUCAGUUUUGGGGGACCGAUAGAAUGAUGCGUACAAAAGAUAGGAUGGUCAGUAUCAAGCAAAGACCAGUUUUAGGAACUAUCUGAAUAUGCAGUAGUAGCCUAUUUUCCCAAUUAUUAUGCUACAACCAGUAACCUACCAUCCAGCUUUUCCUAAAAAGUUUGGUUCUAUUACAGGUUUCUACAUUAUCAGAAAAAUGUUAAACAAAUCCUCUCAAUUAAUAUACUAACUGAAAGAAGUAUGUUAUACUCUACUUCUCUGAAUUAUUCUUCCUAUAAUCUCAAAAGAAGUAUAUGUGCCUUUGCUCCAAAGGUGUACAGGCCUUAUGGAAGCUAAACAAUACUAUCAAAGGAACAAACAAAAACCAGAUUGAAAUAAGAGACUUCAUAUUGAUAUCAUCCAUCACACGUAGAAGUAAAUGAUCAACCACUCCAUUAUCAAGUCCAUGAACGGAUCUCGGAUGCCCAAAUUUCCAACCCAAUCGCAAAUAAAUAUGAAAUGAAGGAAACAAACAGAUAGGAAGUAAGAAGAUAAACGGAGAACAAUGUGAAGUUACAAGAAUCUUUUUCUCUCUGCAAAUAAUUCUGAAGAGAAAGAAUAAUAUCUUUAAAAAUCACAGUACAAAUAUGAGAGUAGUCACUCAUGCGACCCCUCCAACCUCUCUCCGCUUGCCAGUCUUUAAGGAAACAAGUCAAAUCAAUUUGGGCACAGAGGUGACUAACAAAGACCAAAUUAGAGCUGAAUUUAAUAUAUUCUUUUAAAUUAUCAAAUGACAAAAAUUAUAACAUUCCCCACUACUUUUCAAAUUUUCACAACAACUAAGGAAAUUUUGAUUUUGAUGGGUGCCUUUUGGGUUUGGUCCACACUCAGUAGUGAUUUUACUGGACUGAGGAUCCAUUAUGGAAUAGGUUCUGAACCACGUCCUUUACCAAUCAUCUAAAACCAUACAUAUACAGCGAGUAAAAUUGAUGGAGCAUAUUACCACCUCUUUGGAUUUCCACUUAGCUUGAUUCUUAUAGGAGCUUCAACCUCAUAAUCAUAAUCCCAUAACUAUCCUCAUUUAGGUGAAUCCUCAAGAAGUAUACUUGACCGAGAUACACUUCUUAGUCCACAUGUCCUCAAAUCUCUCACCACUUGCUAAUUUAUAGGAAACCAAUCGAAGAAACUUGGGUCCACACUUGACUAGAAAAUACCAAUACAAAGCUAAAUUAAAUAGUUUUCCAAGUUAAGUAAGAACUUCAAAGUAACAAAAAUAUUAACAAAAUCAACAUCAAUAAUGAUGUAAAAAUGCUUAAAAUAAUUGGUUAGUAGAAAAUCCCGGAAGCAUGACAUCUAAUAUAUAUAUCUUGAUUGGCGUAAGCCUUGUGCACUGGGCUGCCCCUUUUUAUACCAUCUAAGAUAUAAAGAGCAAAUUUUGGACCAUCAUAAGUCUUCUAUCCUACUUUGAUUGUCUCCGCUUAUAGUUGUAGGGGUAAGAACACCUUGCAUAGGAAGUGCCUCAUGCAUUAGGCUAUCUUCUUACUUGUUCCAUCUAAAAUAUAGUUAAGAGGGUAAAUUAUAUCCCAUCUAUAAAGUCUUUAAACUAGUCAUCCAUCACAACUCAGUUGGAACUAGUUCGAUCACCCAAAUUAACAUAAUGAUUUACAAUUAAUCUUUUCUUUGUUCUCAUGGAUAUUUAUGCUAUCAAUUUCGUGAUACAAUAACCUCCAACAGGUACUCAAGAAUCAUUGUCUACAAUAUAAAAAGAUAUUGUACCUUAUGCACGAGGCUCUCAUUAAUGUGGUAUCUAGGGAGGGUCAAUGUACAUUCAAAUAUUUAAAGAGAUUAUUUUCGUGACUCGAAUCUUGGUCUCCCAGAGAACCUUACCAUUGUACCGAGGCCCGCCCUCGACCUCAAUCGUUGUCUAUGAUCUCAAAUCACCAAAUCUAUUGACCAUCAUUGAUCUCAGAAUGAUGACCACUAACAUAAUAAUAGAGUUUCAAAUAUUUGAGGUUUCAUGGUUUUGAAGAUAUAUUAACAAUGAAGCUCUAGUGGGCAAGUGUUUUCCCCUUUUAAGAGAUGUCUCUAAAAGCAACUAAAGUUCACCACAAAAUAAAUAAGAAAAACAUACGGAACAAAAUAAUCUGCAAUAUAAUGGAUGGAACUAAACACGAUUAUUAAGCUCAGAUCAUGUUUGAUUGAGCACACAAUUGACAGUUUUCAUCCUAUUCAAUGAACAACGGUCAGUUUGAACGCCACAAAUUGAGACACGAAAACGUACAUAGGCUUCAGUAAGAAAGAUUAAUGAAUGUUCAUCCUCAACGAACUGGAAAAAAAAUUCACUGAGAAGCGUAUGCAAUGAAUUUUAAUCCACAAAAUUCAUAUUUUUUCGCUUAACAAGACUGCAAAAUUGCAUAAAACAAGAAGAAUUCAGAAAUAUUAGAAAUUGGAAUUACCAAAGGGAACAGAGUCCCACCUGAUACCAGAUCCCGUUGCAAAGAUAAAGACGGAGGGGAAGGCAUCGGGAGGAGAGAUCUCCUCCACCCGGAAUCCCCUCCCCAUAAUGCCACUCAGCUCGACGAUAUCCCCGCGUCUGAGCCCACAGAGAAGAUCGACAGUGGAGCCAGGGACCCUCUUGACGAGGAAUUGGAAUUCGCAACGGGAGGCGGCGAAGGAGGGGGGGGAGGCGAUGGCGAGGAAGGCGGGCUUGUCGGCACCCGGUACCCGGAGCUGGAGGUACUGACCCGGGGCGGUGUAGGAUACGGCGAGAUCGGGGGCGUAGGAGACGUCGACGGCGACGUGAAAGAGGGAGGCGUCGGCGGAUGCGGGGGCGACGAGGGAGAGGGGCGCCUGGGACCACGUGUCCGUGUCCUGCUGAACGGCGGCUGCGAGGGCGGUGAGAGCGCGGCGGCGGAGGGGGGCGGGGAGGCGGAGGCGAGAGAGGGGAGACAUGUAGCGGUGGCGAGGGACGAGAGGGUGAGCGUCGAAGCCUUUCGGGUCAGGUACAAAGAGAGACGGGAAGGAGUUGGUCGCCGCGGCCGCCUCCUAAUUUUAUUUUUAUUUUUUUUAAUAUCAUUUUCAAACCCAUCGAAUGUAAAGUCCAUUAGAUCGAAUCGAUCUAAAUUUAAACCCAUCAAAAUAAAUAAUAUUAAUAUAUUUUCUAUUUUUAUAUUUAAAUAUUUUUUAUUUUUAUUAUAAAAAUUAUUAUUAUUAUUUUCUGUAAUUUCAUAAAAUAAAUAUAUUUAUUUUCUUUUUGGUCCCCUCCACUGAGUGUUUCAGGCCCCGCCGGCGGAGCAUAACGUGUGUUCGUCCCCGACUCCGUUCGACUCUAAGCCGCCCCGUCGUGGGUUCACGGACGGCCGAGACGUGACCUUUUUAUCUCUCCUCCAAAAUCUUUAAAUAAAAUAAUCAUCAUUAUUUUAAAUAUAAAUUAUGUAAUUUAUUUUUGUAUAUCUUUAAAUCGAACCGCAUGAUUCUUCUUCCAUCAUGAGCGAGAAAGACAACCAAAAAAUCCUCCCAGCAACUAAUAAUAUGAAAUGAUGCUUCAAAAAUAAUAAUAAGUCCAUUAGUGGAAUCGGGCCGAACGAGGCCCAAAAACUAUAUUACUUGAACACUAUAUCCAUAGUUUCUCUUCUCCUACUACUACUCCAUAACGAUAUCCAUUUCCAUUCUCGACCACAUCACACACCUCUCUCUCUCUCUCUCUCUCUCUCUCUCUCCCUCC
rnacentral:lncRNA from 1 species